rnacentral:misc_RNA from 1 species
GAUGAAGAACGUAGCAAAAUGCGAUAAGUAAUGUGAAUUGCAGAAUUCAGUGAAUCAUCGAAUCUUUGAACGCACAUUGCGCCCGCCAGUAAUCUGGCGGGCAUGCCUGUUCGAGCGUCAUUUCAACCCUCAAGCACAGCUUGGUGUUGGGACUCGCGUUAAUUCGCGUUCCCCAAAUUGAUUGGCGGUCACGUCGAGCUUCCAUAGCGUAGUAGUAAAACCCUCGUUACUGGUAAUCGUCGCGGCCACGCCGUUAAACCCCAACUUCUGAAUGUUGACCUCGGAUCAGGUAGGAAUACCCGCUGAACUUAAGCAUAUCAAUAAGCGGAGGA